rnacentral:rRNA from 1 species
AUGUCCCAUCUUUUCCUCCUUGCCGCCGCCACUCUCUCGCUUUCCCCUCGGGAUCUCCUCCUCGAUCCAAAUCCCCCAACCAGAAACUCCCCUCGAUCUCCACCUACACCCCCAUCCUUCCCUGCCUCGAGCCAGGAGCUCGUCCUCGACCCCGAGCCACUUCUCCCGCCGGCAAACGAGGCCACCGACCAGGACCCCGUCGUCCCCCCAGUAGCAACCAGGAGCUCAAGCUCCCUCCUCUCUGUCAAUGGCACCCUCGCCCCGAGAUCGCAGGGAGCCAUGCCAGCCGCCAUGGAGCAGCAGCAGCAUAGUCGGCCUUCGAGUUCGUUGCCGUCCCUCACCUCCGGCCGGAUCGAGCCAUCCUCGGCCUCUCCCCGUUCAACCACGCCCUCGCCUUCGCGCCUCCGGCGACCGGCCUCGUCGUCGCCGGCAACCCCAGGCAGGCCCCGUUGUGCCCCUGCCAUCUCCUUGUCGCCUCUCCCUUCUUCCCGUCCGCGCUCGCCGGCGACAAGCACCGCCCUUCGCCGAAGAUCUUCAGCAGGCCAGGUCGCGACCUCCCCUGCCCGCGAACUCCUUCUUCUUCCUUCCGCCGGCUCUCUCUGCUGUUCACGCUUCCCUUUCUCUCCCUUGCAGGACCCCGCCACCGGAGGUUGCCUCGCUCGCCCCGGAUCUGGACGCCCAUCGCCGGAGGCCGCCGUCCCGCGCCUGGAGACGCGCCCCUCCAUCCCCUGCGCCUCCGUCUCUUCCUCGCCGCCGAACUCCUGCUUCAAGGCGCAGCCGGCGCCCACUUAUUCUGCUCGGGAACGAGCAUGCCCCGCCUCUGCUUUGAACCAGGGGGCCGACACCUCCAGCGCCUGCGUUGACCCCGCGCGUGGGCCGCGCAAAGGCCCAGUCCGCCCGGCCUAG